GACGAACGCUGGCGGCGUGCUUAACACAUGCAAGUCGAACGGAAAGGCCCUGCUUUUGUGGGGUGCUCGAGUGGCGAACGGGUGAGUAACACGUGAGUAACCUGCCCUUGACUUUGGGAUAACUUCAGGAAACUGGGGCUAAUACCGGAUAGGAGCUCCUGCUGCAUGGUGGGGGUUGGAAAGUUUCGGCGGUUGGGGAUGGACUCGCGGCUUAUCAGCUUGUUGGUGGGGUAGUGGCUUACCAAGGCUUUGACGGGUAGCCGGCCUGAGAGGGUGACCGGCCACAUUGGGACUGAGAUACGGAGCAGACUGCUACGGGAGGCAGCAGUGGGGAAUAUUGCACAAUGGGCGGAAGCCUGAUGCAGCAACGCCGCGUGCGGGAUGACGGCCUUCGGGUUGUAAACAGCUUUCGACUGUGACGAAGCGUGAGUGACGGUAAUGGGUAAAGAAGCACCGGCUAACUACGUG
rnacentral:rRNA from 1 species